GCCGAAAUAGCUCAGUUGGGAGAGCGUCAGACUGAAGGUCCCUGGUUCAAUCCGGAGAGUUUGUAGAAACUCUGAAAAAUCCCGGGUUUCGGCA
rfam:Nematostella vectensis strain CH2 x CH6 NEMVEscaffold_224_Cont19619, whole genome shotgun sequence.